GGCCGCCUGGCGAAAUGGUAUCGCGUCUGACUACGACACAGUACAUCAGGAGAUUGCAGGUUCGAGCCCUGCGGUGGUCA